rnacentral:rRNA from 1 species
GAUUCCCCUAGUACUGCGAGUGAAGCGGGAAAAGCUCAAAUUUAAAAUCUGGCGGUCUUUGGCCGUCCGAGUUGUAGUCUGGAGAAGUGCUUUCCGCGCUGGACCGUGUACAAGUCUCUUGGAACAGAGCGUCAUAGAGGGUGAGAAUCCCGUCUUUGACAUGGACUACCAGUGCUUUGUGAUGCGCUCUCAAAGAGUCGAGUUGUUUGGGAAUGCAGCUCAAAAUGGGUGGUGAAUUCCAUCUAAAGCUAAAUAUUGGCGAGAGACCGAUAGCGAACAAGUACCGUGAGGGAAAGAUGAAAAGCACUUUGGAAAGAGAGUUAAACAGUACGUGAAAUUGCUGAAAGGGAAACGCUUGAAGUCAGUCGCGUUGUCCGGAACUCAGCCUUGCUUCGGCUUGGUGCAUUUUCCGGGCGACGGGCCAGCAUCGAUUUUGACCGUCGGAAAAGGGCUGAGGGAAUGUGGCACCUUCGGGUGUGUUAUAGCCUUCAGUCGCAUACGGCGGUUGGGAUCGAGGAACGCAGCACGCCUUAUGGCUGGGGGUUCGCCCACAUUCGUGCUUAGGAUGCUGGCAUAAUGGCUUUAAACGACCCGUCUUGAAACACGGACCAA